rnacentral:sRNA from 1 species
AUAGUUUGUUAUACGCCGUAGACAGUAGGUGCAUUAUUGCUUAAUUUCCUACCGAGGUCAUCUGAUGUAAAAUUAUUACAUGAGUAUUUUAGCCUCUUUUUGUCUAGAAUAAAAAGAGGCAUUUAUUAUUU